rnacentral:lncRNA from 1 species
AUAAAAAGUUUACAUUUACUAUGGCAGUGUUGUGAAUAAAAAUUAAAUUUUGUGUUCUUACAGUUUAUUUGUAAAAGAUACUCUUAUUAUGGAAGCAUGAUUUCUUAUAUUUAAAUAGGUAGAUCUCCUGUUACUAAUGCUCUUUAAGAUGAAGUUGAGAGCUAAAUCUUAGUGCAAUUGUUACAAGGACAGUGAUUUUUAGGUGGCAAUGUUCUGGUUCAGUUUUUUCAAAUAUACUUUUUUUUUUUUAAACUUAGGAGCCAGCACUAUAAAAAGCCCAUCAAAUAUUAUGGGCAGUAUGUAAAUAAAAAUAUAAUAAUUUGCCAUUUUUCAAGAAAGUAACCGGUCACGCUGUUACAAGUAGUUUGUAUGCAUAUGUAAUACUUUGUAAUUAAAUUAUUUAAUAUUUGACUGAUUUUAGUAACUGUGAAAAAUAAAGAUGUUGCAUUUAUUUGUGAGACUUUGAAUUGUUUUCUGUAGUAGGUAACUGAAAAUAUGUUGACACUAAGAUGUGAACUUGCUUUUCUUGUAAAUUAAGAACUUUAUUAUUUCUCUAAUUUUGUUAAACUUUGUAGUUCUUAUUCUUAAAAUAUAACUAAACUAAUUUUAAAAUUGCUUAAAUCUGACUGUGACGUAUACAUACUGUGGUGUUUGUGUUACUUUUUCUUGGGUGGGCUCCUAAUACUGUGCAUAAUAGUUAGAUCCUUUGAGUAGUCAUUGUUAAGACUGUAUUAGUUUCUUCAGGGAAAUAUCAAACUCGAAGAAUCAACAGAUGUUUUAAGUAUAAUAGUAUUUGCCUUAUAUCUCUGAAGUUCUAUAUUACAUCUAAUUAUUAUUGUAUGAAAUAUGUAAAACAGGUAUGUCAAGUGUAUAUAGCUCUGGUCUGUAAUUCAGAAAUGAUUUAUAGCCUCCAGAAGCCAUUAUUUGCACUUACAUAUAUGAUCAGUAUAGAAAGCAAUAAAAUGUUUAAGUUAUAAGGAGUUGUUAUUCUAAAAAUUGUUUAAUAAACCAUGUAUCUAGUAUCAUGCUAGUUAACAAUUUAAGUCAUUAUUAAAAUUGGGCAUAGCUCAAUAGUCGAAACACUUGUCUAGCAAGGUUAAAGUCCUGGGUUUGAUCCUAGCAAAGGAAAAGUGAAAAACUUCAUUUGUGCUAUGCCUAAAAGAAACAAACACAUAAGAAUGGAGACUGACUGACUUAUGUUUGAGAGAGGUUUUAUUUGCUAAUGCAAAGGUUUAGAAAUACGUUAUUUUAUAUAUAGUUAACAUAUAUACAAAAGGUUAAAAAAAAAAACUGAAGGGAAAUUUGAAUUGUUGACAUAAACAAGAGUGAAAAUUCCUGAGUUUUUCAAUGGUUAAUAUACAAGGUUAAUUUAACCUUGUUUCACAGGAAAAUAAAGAACAUUUUUUUUAAAGAUUUAUUUAUUUAUUUAUUAUAUGUAAGUGCACUGUAGCUGUCUUUAGACACUCCAGAAGAGGGCAUCAGAUUUCAUUAUGGAUGGUUGUGAGCCACCAUGUGGUUGCUGGGAUUUGAACUCGGGACCUCCAGAAGAGCAGUCGGCACUCUUAACAACCACUGAGCCAUCUCACGAGCCCAAUAAUGAACAUUUAAAAUGACCAUUUGCAUGGUCAUGUCAUUGUAAUUAAUUACUGUGGUUUUAUGGCCUAGGCUCCAUUUCCAUCCCCACCAAGAAAGGGGGUUGCUGAGCUUGAAAACCUAGUGUAUGUACUAAAGAAUAAUACCUACACAACAUUAGAAAAGUUCUCAUUUUACAAAAUGGUAACAGUGAAGACUGACGUACACCUGUAUAGAGAAUCCAGGAGAGCACAGAUUAAGAAUGGGAUCAUGUUGGUAGAAUACUUGGUGACAUGCACAAAGCACUGGGUUCAAGCAUCAGCAGUACAGCAUAAACUGGGCAUGAUGGUAUGUGCCUGUGAUAGUAUCACUUGGGAUCACUAGCUACAUAGAGACUUUGAGGUUAGACUGGGAUAUAUGAGUUCCUAUUUCAAAUAAAAUGAUCUG